rnacentral:rRNA from 1 species
GUGGGGAAUAUUGCGCAAUGGGGGAAACCCUGACGCAGCGACGCCGCGUGAGCGAAGAAGGCCUUAGGGUUGUAAAGCUCUGUUUUAAGGGACGAAUGUCGUGGGGAGUAAUAUGCUCUGCGAAUGACGGUACCUUAAGAGGAAGCCCCGGCUAACUACGUGCCAGCAGCCGCGGUAAGACGUAGGGGGCGAGCGUUGUCCGGAAUUACUGGGCGUAAAGAGCACGUAGGCGGGAACUUAAGUCAGGUGUGAAAGACCGGGGCUCAACUCCGGGGUUGCACUUGAAACUGGGUUUCUUGAGGGCAGGAGAGGAAAGCAGAAUUCCUGGUGUAGCGGUGAAAUGCGUAGAAAUCAGGAGGAAUACCAGUGGCGAAGGCGGCUUUCUGGACUGACCCUGACGCUGAGGUGCGAAAGCGUGGGUAGCAAACAGGAUUAGAAACCCUAGUAGUCC